rnacentral:lncRNA from 1 species
AUUCCUUUCGUUAUUGGUUAAUUAUUAUGCAAAAGAUAGAGUUCAGAUCUCACGGGAUUCUUGAAGUAUUUAAAUUUAAAGGAAAUUAAUUUCUUAAUAGAAUGAAAUUAUAUAAUGGAUGAAAAAAUUAGGAUUAAAUUAUGAAAUUAAAAUCGACUCUAAGUCGGUAAUGUGUUUUGAUUUCACUCUCUUUCUUUCCUUUUCCUACCCGUUUCAAAAACGGAAAUUAUUCUGUUUUUCUCAGAAAUGAGUUUUCCUAAACUAUUAGAUAAUACAGUAUUAGAAUUGAUGCAAGUUAACCGCAAAGAGAAGGUCUUUGCCCAGGGCGUUGAACUGUGUUCCGGCCUUCACGUCUGGAAUAGUCCACUGUUAUCGGACGACCAAUGUAGACGAGACGUAGGGAGAGAAGGAAGAACGAUUGAGUGUCACGGAUCACUGGAUCAUUUAGGCAUUCCCGAGAUACGUCAUUUUAGUAGACAAACAAGAAAAAUAUAGUCCAUUCUUUUUUGAUUAGUUUGCCCUGACUAUUUUAUUUCGAUUCAGAAUUGUAGUUUUAUUUUAUAUUAUUUGAUUGAUUUUUUAAAAUAAUUUUAUUCUCGUUCUUCAAAAUAAAUACCGUGUGUGAUGAUAUUUUAUAUAUAAAUUGAUUUUUGGCCAUUGUGAUAAAAAUAGCUAG